CCUUCUUUUUUCUCCCAUAUCCUAAGCAUCGAUAUUUGCCACACAUAUUAGAUGGUGGGGCUGACUUUUACUCCAAAAUAGUGACAGUAUAGCAAGCAAUAUACACAGUCUCUGGGAAACAAGACAGAUUCCUUUUUUAGCCCUUGAUGAACAGAAUUUUUCUACUUAUUCUUGUAAAAAAUAUAUUAAAUCAAGUUGAAGGCAACUUCUAAGUCCUAUCUGCUACUGCUUUAAGUGGUGAUUGAGAGGAGUUCUCACUGGGAACUGGAUGACUCUUCAGUCUGAUGAAUGAAGGAAGGCAUGUAACGGAUAUCUCGGAAUCUCUGCCUUAGCUUCUUGAUGCCAACUGUACCUGCUUCAAGUAAGUGUUCCAGUUCUUAAAGAUCUCCUACACAGCAUAGCUACUGCAAUGCCAAGGCCAUUGUGCUAGAGGCAAGCAAGUUGGAAUGCAUUACCUCCCUAGCCCCUGUGCCAUUGUCUACUGUGGAUACCUGAAGCACCUUAUAUCAGCAUCAUCAGUAUCUUGUCAGUACGUUAAUGAAAUUGCCUAAUUAUGCCUUCUGAUUUUAGUCCCAGAAGCUUUAUUUGAUCCCUAAACAUGGAUAGAAACUGAAGCAUACCAUCCCCUUAUAUCUGGACAAAAUAGUAUUCAACCCUAAAAUCCAUACUUGUAAUUUGGGGAGAAGCCUUCCUAAAUUGUUGAUUUGUUUCUGACUUCUGUGCAGGCUGUAUGGCUCCAUUUAAUGACUUAGUGUCUCUGAUACUCCAUACAGCCAUAACUACUCAGAUGCUUCAUAAAGUACUUCAGUGUUAAUUGUUUUAAUGUAUAAAGGGCAUAUAAUUUGGAUCAAAGGGCACUUUCUAUAAAGUCUUGUGUUGCAACUCUGGUACAAAAUAUUAGAACAUGACCUAUAUGUCAAGAAGUAAUAAACAGAGAAGCAGCAAUAAUGUGGACAUGAAAAGUAAUUAUUAUAUUACUGAAUCAUCUAUUUAACUUGAAGUCCUUUUAAAAAAGCACUCUAUACAGACUACAGCUUCCAUCAAUCCCUUGAAGAAGCAUUAGCACGUUAUGACAAUGAAACACAAAAGCAUGAGUGUCUUUUGAAAGGUCUUUAGUGUGAAGCAUUCCAUUCAU